rnacentral:rRNA from 1 species
AUUGAACGCUGGCGGCAUGCCUUACACAUGCAAGUCGAACGGCAGCGGACCUUCGGGUGCCGGCGAGUGGCGAACGGGUGAGUAAUAUAUCGGAACGUACCUUUCAGUGGGGAUAACGUAGCGAAAGUUACGCUAAUACCGCAUAUUCUGUGAGCAGGAAAGCAGGGGAUCGCAAGACCUUGCGCUGAUUGAGCGGCCGAUAUCAGAUUAGCUAGUUGGUGAGGUAAAGGCUCACCAAGGCGACGAUCUGUAGCGGGUCUGAGAGGAUGAUCCGCCACACUGGAACUGAGACACGGUCCAGACUCCUACGGGAGGCAGCAGUGGGGAAUUUUGGACAAUGGGCGCAAGCCUGAUCCAGCCAUGCCGCGUGAGUGAAGAAGGCCUUCGGGUUGUAAAGCUCUUUCGGCCGGGAAGAAAUCGCACAGGUCAAUACCCUGUGUGGAUGACGGUACCGGAAUAAGAAGCACCGGCUAACUACGUG